AAUCUUCCGCAAUGGACGAAAGUCUGACGGAGCGACGCCGCGUGAGUGAUGAAGGUCUUCGGAUCGUACAACUCUGUUGUUAGGGAAGAAUAAGUAUAAGGCGAAUAACCUUAUACCUUGACGGUACCUAACCAGAAAGCCCCGGCUAACUACGUGCCAGCAGCCGCGGUAAUACGUAGGGGGCGAGCGUUGUCCGGAAUUAUUGGGCGUAAAGGGUGCGUAGGCGGUCUCUUAAGUCUGAUGUGAAAGCCCACGGCUUAACCGUGGAGGGUCAUUGGAAACUGGGAGACUUGAGUGCAGAAGAGGAGAGUGGAAUUCCAUGUGUAGCGGUGAAAUGCGUAGAGAUAUGGAGGAACACCAGUGGCGAAGGCGACUCUCUGGUCUGUAACUGACGCUGAGGCAUGAAAGCGUGGGGAGCAAACAG
rnacentral:rRNA from 1 species